UGGGGAAUAUUGGACAAUGGGCGCAAGCCUGAUCCAGCCAUGCCGCGUGAGUGAUGAAGGCACUAGGGUUGUAAAGCUCUUUCACCGGUGAAGAUAAUGACGGUAACCGGAGAAGAAGCCCCGGCUAACUUCGUGCCAGCAGCCGCCGUAAUACGAAGGGGGCUAGCGUUGUUCGGAUUUACUGGGCGUAAAGCGCACGUAGGCGGACUAUUAAGUCAGGGGUGAAAUCCCGGGGCUAAACCCCGGAACUGCCUUUGAUACUGGUAGUCUGGAGUUCGAGGGAGGUGAGUGGAAUUCCGAUUGUAGAGGUGAAAUUCGUAGAUAUUCGGAGGAACACCAGUGGCGAAGGCGGCGCACUGGCUCGAUACUGACGCUGAGGUGCGAAAGCGUGGGGAGCAAACAGG
rnacentral:rRNA from 1 species